ensembl:lncRNA
GACAAAUCAACCACACUGGAUGGAUUACUAUAUCAUUUUUCUAAGGGAAUAUACUUUGACAGGAUGUCAUAGUGUAGCAAAGGGUGCUUACACCAUCACCAAGAAAGACCAAGGAAAAGACUUCCUAGUGAAGGUCGCGGGGGGCGCUGGAGCCUAUCCCAGCUGUCAUAGGGCGAGAGGCAGGGUACACCCUGGACAGGUGGCCAGUCUGUCACAGGGCCAGAGAACCAUUCGCACCUAGUGGCAAUUUGGAUUAUCCAAUUAACCUAUCCCCACAAGUUGCAUGUCUUUGGACGGUGGGAGGAAGCCGGAGUACCCGGAGUGAACCCACGCAAACACGGGGAGAACAUGCAAACUCCACACAGAAAGACCCCAGCCUGAUGGUGGAAUUGAACUCAGGACCUUCUUGCUGUGCGGCAACAGUGCUAACCACCGUGCCACCGUGCUGCAUGUGAACAGGAAAAUGACAGACGAGCUCUGGAUUAAUUAACCAAUUAGAAGUGGAGCCCCUGGGAGGCGUUUGAGGGUCCAAUCCCCUUGUUGUCAUUAGACACACAUACAUGGCCUCAAUUAGGCAGUGCUGUGAUAGGUCUCAUUGACUGGAAGAUGCAUCUCCAGGAGCAGUGUUUGUCUCCCCCCUUGAGUGACUGAGUAGGUGAGUAACCUUUUAAUUUAAUUAUCAUUAUUAUCCUGAUGUCCACUGUUUCUGCCUCCGCUAACCCCUCCUCUUGCCCUACUCAUUUCCCCCGAGGUGCAGCUCGAUUCAAUUAUAUCGGAAUCCCCAUAUUGAAGAUUUUGAGCAUCACUGUCUUUUCUCUUCUAUGUUGUCUUUCUUUCUGCAGAGAUCAAUGUCCUCUCCGUAGCUCUAAGCAACAGGCAUGUCAACUUUGUGUCUGUAAAUUUACAGAAAGUCUGUCUCACACUGAGCCCAUGCAUUGUUAUUGGUCAGGAACACAGAGGGAGAAUAAUGACUAAAUGAAAGGAUAAAAGGAAGAAUCUAUAUCCUACCAUGUUCAUAUGUUUGUAAGGUUCUUUCCCACCUUCUUAACUUGACUGACAGGGGCUGGAUACUUGAGGACUGAGUGUACACUACAGUAUGCUGUGUGUCAGCACUGAUUGGCCUUAUUAGGACAACACCGCAGACGGCCACAGACACAGCAGGGGAGUGUUGAUGCUGCUAGAGACAAGACAAGACAAGUUCACCACUUCUCAUCAUUUACUCAUUUGUCUUUUCACUUGGCCAGCAAUCACAGCUGAUCUCUACAGUAUGUAACCAUAACGGCUAAAUGACAGCCUAACCUUUUGGUCACCAGGGGACACUAAUGCAAGACUCUCAGUUUGUUUUGCUAGCAUACUGAGCCCCACAAAAUGUUUAGUAUGUUGUAAUGAGGCUCCAGUGGGCUGGUUAAUGUUUUCAUACAUAAUGUUGAGGCCUACAAAAAUGAGUCAUAAUAAGCUAAUCUUCUCAAAGUUGAAAGCCUGUCUUCACUUUGCAUGUUGCUAUGGCCCAGCCCCCAUGCCACAACAAAAAAAAUGAAAGGACAUGACAGUGAAAGAUUAAACUGAGAUAUUACAAAAUAAACAAAAAAGCAAACUG